rnacentral:rRNA from 1 species
GACGAACGCUGGCGGCGUGCUUAACACAUGCAAGUCGAACGGAAAGGCCCUGCUUUUGUGGGGUGCUCGAGUGGCGAACGGGUGAGUAACACGUGAGUAACCUGCCCUUGACUUUGGGAUAACUUCAGGAAACUGGGGCUAAUACCGGAUAGGAGCUCCUGCUGCAUGGUGGGGGUUGGAACGUUUCGGCGGUUGGGGAUGGACGCGCGGCUUAUCAGCUUGUUGGUGGGGUAGUGGCUUACCAAGGCUUUGACGGGUAGCCGGCCUGAGAGGGUGACCGGCCACAUUGGGACUGCGAUACGGCCCAGACUCCUACGGGAGGCAGCAGUGGGGAAUAUUGCACAAUGGGCGGAAGCCUGAUGCAGCAACGCCGCGUGCGGGAUGACGGCCUUCGGGUUGUAAACCGCUUUCGCCUGUGACGAAGCGUGAGUGACGGUAAUGGGUAAAGAAGCACCGGCUAACUACGUG